rnacentral:lncRNA from 1 species
CACUCCGGGCAACUGCGACAGUCGUCUUCCACGGCCCUCCUUAUCCCGGACCAGUGGAACCGGUGGCGAUCCGUUCCCGGGUCUUCUCCAUUCCCAGGUGCGCCCCCAACAGGUGGACCAGCUGAAGAACGGUUCCCACGUACCGUCGGGGUAGCAACAAUAUCUCUUGAAGUUCCCCCUGUUGGUGCGACACCUGACACAAAAGGUUAUUCUUGAUUUGGAAAUAGGGGUAUCGCCAGUCACUCACCCCCGGAAGUAGCUGUCCAUCCACCGUUAUCACUUGGGCUGCAGCGGCUUUGAAGUUAGGAUCCUCCCACUGGACCGUCCCGAAUUGUCCCCUCAGUUGGCCCCCAGACUGGCCCCUCGAAAUCGAGGAGGGGGAGGCUGGGCUCUUCCUCCCGUGGUUCCCCAGUGGGGUCAGGUUCCAGCACCCCCUCCGACUCCAGCUCCGGACCCGUAGAUACAGGUUGGUCAACCGUUUGCUUCCGGGCCGCACAGGCGAUGGGUCAUCCUCGCUCUUGUCUUCGGCCAGCUCGUACCUUCUUCCUCAGCUCGUGCCCCCACAGGGCCGCAAACAGCGGACAAUCUCAUCCCACUAGGAGAGGUACCGGCAACUCUGGUACUGCACCCACCAUCAUCUGGCAGCUCCUUUGGGGCGUCACAAUGUUGGCCCGUAUGGUUGGAUACCGCUUUGUGUCCCCAUGAACACAGGAAAUUGACAUCUCCCUACCACGUUCGGUCUCCUGGUUCAGCAGGCACAUGGUUACGAGGGUAACCAUACUUCCGGAGUCCAAUAGAGCUUCCGUGUCGUGCCCUUCUGCCCUUCUGGCAGCUUUAUGGGCCUUGCACAGCUGGUGAGCAAUCAGCCCUUGAUUACUCACCAACUCCCAAUCAGCCCCAAUUAGUCCUGGACGGAGAGCCCGUCGAGAUCUGGCAUGUCCAGCCAAUGGAGCCAUCGCCUCGUGACGUACACUCUGUCUGUCACCAGGCCUCGACGAGUCUCCCCCUGGUGGCUGACCUGCUGUACGCCACAAUGAAUACAACAGUAUAUAUAGCAUGUUAACAUAGAGAUAUAUAUAUAUAAACUAUACAACAGUAUAUAUAGCAUGUUAACAUGGGAAUAUAUAUCAUCUAUAAAUGAAUAUAACAGUCUAUAUGGGUCCAGUGUUGGUUUCUUGAGGAUGGAAGCGACUCGGGCCAUCUUGAAGUCAGUUGUCAGGGAUGAGUUGGUGAGGGAAGUGAGGAAUGGGAGAAGGUCUCCAGAGAUGAGUUGAUGAAGGAAGUGAGAAGGUCUCCAGAGAUGGUGUGGAGAAGGGAAUGGGGAUGAGUUGAUGAGGGAAGUAAGAAGGUCUCCAGAGAUGGUGUGGAGAAGUGAGGAGGGAAUGGGGUUGAGUUGAUGAGGGAAGUUAGGAAGGGGAGGUCUCCAGAGAUGGUCUGGAGAAGGGAAGAGGGAAUGGGGUUGAGUUGAUGAGGGAAGUGAGGAAGGGGAGGUCUCCAGAGAUGGUCUAGAGAAGGGAGGAGGGGUUGAGUGGGCAGGUUGUCGGGCGGACGGACAUCACUAAUCGCAGGAUUUUAUCUGGAGUGAGAGGGGAGAAAGAGGUCAAGGCGUAUGGUAGUUAUGGAGAGAGAGGGGAGAAUGAGGUCAAGGCGUAUGGUAGUUAUGGAGAGAGAUGGGAGAAAGAGGUCAAGGCGUAUGGUAGUUAUGGAGAGAGAGGGGAGAAAGAGGUCAAGGCGUAUGGUAGUUAUGGAGAGAGAGGGGAGAAAGAGGUCAAGGCGUAUGGUAGUUAUGGAGAGAGAGGGGAGAAAGAGGUCAAGGCGUAUGGUAGUUAUGGAGAGAGAGGGGAGAAAGAGGUCAAGGCGUAUGGUAGUUAUGGAGAGAGAUGGGAGAAAGAGGUCAAGGCGUAUGGUAGUUAUGGAGAGAGAUGGGAUAAAGAGGUCAAGGCGUAGGGUAGUUAUGGAGAGAGAGGGGAGAAAGAGGUCAAGGCGUAUGGUAGUUAUGGAGAGAGAGGGGAGAAAGAGGUCAAGGCGUAUGGUAGUUAUGGAGAGAGAGGGGAGAAAGAGGUCAAGGUGUAUGGUAGUUAUGGAGAGAGAGGGGAGAAAGAGGUCAAGGUGUAUGGUAGUUAUGUGUGAGUGGGACCAGUGGACUCAGUAGGCUGAGUGAAUGAGGAGCAGAUGCCCUCUAGUGACCACUAUUCCAACACUAUAGUCAAUUACUUUGGGCCAAAGUCUCCCAAAGCUGUCUAAUACAUCUGGUCUAAAGUAGUGCACUAGGAAGGGAACAGGGCUCUGGUCUAAAGUAGUGCACUAUGAAGGGAACAGGGCUCUGGUCUAAAGUAGUGCACUAUGAAGGGAACAGGGCUCUGGUCUACAGUAGUGCACUAUGAAGGGAACAGGGCUCUGGUCUACAGUAGUGCACUAUGAAGGGAACAGGGCUCUGGUCUACAGUAGUGCACUAUGAAGGGAACAGGGCUCCGUAGAGGAAUUUGGUGCCAUUUUAGAUUGGCCCUGUGUAUAUGCAACAUGAUAUAUCUAAUGUUGUUAGAUUAUAUAUAUUAGUGUAAAUUAUGUUAUUUGAUCUAUAUUAAUGUAAAUGAUGCUGUAUGAUGUAAAUGUCUCAGAAAAUAAACUGCCUGAUCCCGAAAGAACCAAUAAAAACCCAGAUGACAAAGC